UGGAGAGGACAGCGAGCUUGGAUUCUGCAGAAAGGCAUUAGGCGAGCAACAUUUUCCAUCUGGAAUGUCGCCGUCAGAUAACUUUAUUCAUCUGAGUUGAUUCCAGAACAAUGCAAUUAGAUGCAGUAAGAAGCAAAGCACAGUGGAAAAACAUGCAGAAAGCAUACUGAAUGGAAUUAAACUGAAAGAUGGACUAAAGACUUGGAAAUUAUUAGAAUGAGGAGGGGUCUUGAAAAUCUACUCAUUCAAAGCUUUCAUUUCAGGAUCAGAAACCGGGGCCUGAGAAGGAGGAAGAUUUAUAUUUGCAUUCCAAGGUGUAAGGGGACUAAAAUGAGGCAGAAAAUGAUGCUAAGUUUAUCCGAUCAUCACUUAACAAUUGCUACAAUGAACAGGAAAAGUGGUAAAA